UGGGGAAUAUUGCACAAUGGGCGCAAGCCUGAUGCAGCGACGCCGCGUGCGGGAUGGAGGCCUUCGGGUUGUAAACCGCUUUUGUUCAAGGGCAAGGCACGGUCUUUGGGCCGUGUUGAGUGGAUUGUUCGAAUAAGCACCGGCUAACUACGUGCCAGCAGCCGCGGUAAUACGUAGGGUGCAAGCGUUAUCCGGAUUUAUUGGGCGUAAAGGGCUCGUAGGCGGUUCGUCGCGUCCGGUGUGAAAGUCCAUCGCUUAACGGUGGAUCCGCGCCGGGUACGGGCGGGCUUGAGUGCGGUAGGGGAGACUGGAAUUCCCGGUGUAACGGUGGAAUGUGUAGAUAUCGGGAAGACACCAAUGGCGAAGGCAGGUCUC
rnacentral:rRNA from 1 species